rnacentral:rRNA from 1 species
GAAAGCAUCUAAGUGCGAAGCCUUCCGCAAGAUGAGAACUCCAUAUUAGGGUCGUCCGAGACGAGGACGUUGAUAGGAGGCAGGUGUAAAGACGGCGACGUCAAAGCCGAGCCUUACUAAUUGCCCGAAUGCUUUCGCCGG